GUUUUCUUUAAACUAUUCAAGAAACUCACCAAAAAAUCAAAAUGAAAACCUUCUUCGCCGUUGUUGCUGUUGCCGUCAUGAACUUCUUAGCCAUUGCUUCAGCUGAACCCCUCUUGAAUGCCUUGCCUUUGGAUGCCUUGAGCAGCUUGACUGGUGGCAAGUGAAAAUUG